UACGUAGGGUGCAAGCGUUAAUCGGAAUUACUGGGCGUAAAGCGUGCGCAGGCGGUUUCGCAAGUCAGAUGUGAAAGCCCCGGGCUUAACCUGAGAACUGCAUUUGAAACUACGAGGCUAGAGUGUGUCAGAGGGGGGUAGAAUUCCACGUGUAGCAGUGAAAUGCGUAGAGAUGUGGAGGAAUACCGAUGGCGAAGGCAGCCCCCUGGGAUAACACUGACGCUCAUGCACGAAAGCGUGGGGAGCAAACAGG
rnacentral:rRNA from 1 species